rnacentral:rRNA from 1 species
CCAACCAGAAAGCCACGGCUAACUACGUGCCAGCAGCCGCGGUAAUACGUAGGUGGCAAGCGUUGUCCGGAUUUAUUGGGCGUAAAGCGAGCGCAGGCGGUUUUUUAGGUCUGAUGUGAAAGCCUUCGGCUUAACCGGAGAAGUGCAUCGGAAGCCGGGAGACCUGAGUGCAGAAGAGGACAGUGGAACUCCAUGUGUAGCGGUGAAAUGCGUAGAUAUAUGGAAGAACACCAGUGGCGAAGGCGGCUGUCUGGUCUGCAACUGACGCUGAGGCUCGAAAGCAUGGGUAGCGAACAGGAUUAGAUACCCUGGUAGUCCAUGCCGUAAACGAUGAGUGCUAAGUGUUGGAGGGUUUCCGCCCUUCAGUGCUGCAGCUAACGCAUUAAGCACUCCGCCUGGGGAGUACGACCGCAAGGUUGAGACUCAAAGGAAUUGACGGGGGCCCGCACAAGCGGUGGAGCAUGUGGUUUAAUUCGAUGCUACGCGAAGAACCUUACCAGGUCUUGACAUCUUCUGCUAACCUAAGAGAUUAGGCGUUCCCUUCGGGGACGGAAUGACAGGUGGUGCAUGGUUGUCGUCAGCUCGUGUCGUGAGAUGUUGGGUUAAGUCCCGCAACGAGCGCAACCCUUAUUGUCAGUUGCCAGCAUUUAGUUGGGCACUCUGGCGAGACUGCCGGUGACAAACCGGAGGAAGGUGGGGAUGACGUCAAAUCAUCAUGCCCCUUAUGACCUGGGCUACACACGUGCUAGAAUGGACGGUACAACGAGUCGCGAAACCGCGAGGUCAAGCUAAUCUCUGAAAGCCGUUCUCAGUUCGGAUUGCAGGCUGCAACUCGCCUGCAUGAAGUUGGAAUCGCUAGUAAUCGUGGAUCAGCAUGCCACGGUGAAUACGUUCCCGGGCCUUGUACACACCGCCCGUCACACCAUGAGAGUUUGUAACACCCAAAGCCGGUGAGGUAACCUUCGGGAACCAGCCGUCUAAGGUGGGACAGAUGAUUAGGGUGAAGUCGUAACAAGGUAGCCGUAGGAGAACCUGCGGCUGGAUCACCUCCUUUCUAA